rnacentral:tRNA from 4 species
AGGCACGUAGCUCAGUUGGUUAGAGUAUCACCUUGACAUGGUGGGGGUCGCUGGUUCGAGCCCAGUCGUGCCUA